rnacentral:rRNA from 1 species
GAGUGAACGCUGGCGGUAGGCCUACCACAUGCAAGUCGAACGGCAGCACAGUAAGAGCUUGCUCUUACGGGUGGCGAGUGGCGGACGGGUGAGGAAUACAUCGGAAUCUACUUUUUCGUGGGGGAUAACGUAGGGAAACUUACGCUAAUACCGCAUACGACCUACGGGUGAAAGCAGGGGAUCUUCGGCCCUUGCGCGAUUGAAUGAGCCGAUGUCGGAUUAGCUAGUUGGCGGGGUAAAGGCCCACCAAGGCGACGAUCCGUAGCUGGUCUGAGAGGAUGAUCAGCCACACUGGAACAGAGGCACGGUCCAGACUCCUACGGGAGGCAACAGUGGGGAAUAUUGGACAAUGGGCGCAAGCCUGAUCCAGCCAUACCGCGUGAGUGAAGAAGGCCUUCGGGUUGUAAAGCCCUUUUGUUGGGAAAGAAAAGCAGCAGGUUAAUACCCCGCUGUUCUGACGGUACCCAGAGAAUAAGCACCGGCUAACUUCGUG